rnacentral:rRNA from 1 species
UCCUUGAAGUCAAGGUACAAUGAAGAGAUAAAUAUGAAGGUUGAAAUGUUUCUCAAGGCAUAUGGCACAUCGAAACCCACAAGGUACACUUUCCCUGAAGUUAAGAAGAUAGCAAGACGAUUCAAGGAUAAACUAGGCCAGGGUGGAUUUGGAAGUGUAUACAAAGGAGAGCUACCAAAUGGAGUUCCUGUGGCAGUGAAGAUGCUAGAGAGCUCUACAUGAGAGGGAGAGGAAUUCAUCAAUGAAGUUGCAACCAUUGGACUAAUCCAUCAUGCAAAUAUCGUCC